GGGGUUGUGGCUCAGCGGUAGAGCGCUUGCUUCGCAUGCACGAGACCCUGGGUUCGAUCCUCAGCACCACA
rnacentral:tRNA from 1 species